UCCCACGUGUGACGGAUCUGGCUGCUGCCCCAGCGCCUCUCCAGUGAGAUCCUCCGGUAGCGGAGGGAGGAGGAGGAGGAGGGGGGAAGGGAAAAAGGGGCAAAGCGAGCGGAGCAAACCGAGCCAGAGCCGGGCCGGGGGGGGCGGGUUGGGCGGGCGGGGGGGGUUCUCAAAGGGGCUCUCGCUCGGCGCGGCCAUGGAGGCGGACGGGAGCCAGGCUACCUCGGGGAGCCCCGGAGAGGCGCAGCACGACCCCGGCAAGAUGUUCAUCGGCGGCCUCAGCUGGCAAACCUCACCAGACAGCCUUAGAGACUAUUUUAGCAAAUUCGGAGAAAUUAGGGAGUGUAUGGUCAUGCGGGACCCCACCACCAAGCGCUCCAGAGGCUUCGGGUUCGUUACGUUCGCGGAUCCGGCGAGUGUAGACAAAGUCCUGGCUCAGCCGCACCACGAGCUGGACUCCAAGACGAUUGACCCUAAAGUUGCGUUUCCCCGACGAGCACAGCCCAAGAUGGUCACAAGAACAAAGAAAAUAUUUGUAGGUGGAUUAUCGGCUAAUACAGUAGUGGAAGAUGUGAAGCAAUACUUUGAACAGUUUGGCAAGGUAGAGGAUGCCAUGCUAAUGUUUGACAAGACGACCAACAGGCAUAGAGGAUUUGGCUUCGUAACCUUUGAAAAUGAAGACGUGGUUGAAAAAGUCUGUGAAAUUCAUUUCCACGAAAUCAAUAAUAAAAUGGUAGAAUGUAAGAAAGCACAACCUAAAGAAGUGAUGUUUCCACCAGGGACGAGAGGAAGGGCACGUGGAUUGCCGUACACCAUGGACGCUUUCAUGCUAGGGAUGGGAAUGUUGGGUUAUCCGAAUUUUGUUGCAACGUAUGGCCGAGGAUAUCCUGGAUUUGCCCCAAGUUACAGUUAUCAGUUCCCAGCCCUAUUACCAUAUUUAAAUGCAAGUUUUCCAGCAGCGGCUUAUGGACCAGUAGCAGCGGCAGCCGUGGCGGCAGCAAGAGGAUCAGGUAGGGGGGCCCGUGGAAGAGCAAACCCUCAGAGUGCAGGGUCAGAGGGUGUCUCUGAGGCAAACUUUCCGGCCUCUCUUACACUCGGACGUGCACACCUCCUCUCAAACACUCUUCUGAGCGCUCUCAGCGGGAAGGCUCCAACCCAGCGCGGCCCGGAGGCUUCCCCGGCGCCAACAGCCCCGGGCCCGUGGCGGAUCUCUACGGCACGGCCAGCCAGGACUCCGGCGUGGGUAACUACAUAAGCGCCGCCAGCCCGCAGCCGGGCUCGGGCUUCGGACACGGCAUCGCCGGACCUUUGAUUGCAACGGCUUUUACAAAUGGAUACCAUUGAAACGUUACACAUGGUUGGUUGCCAUCUCACUUGGAGAGUCUCUCUGGAUGUCCGGGCAAGACAGGGCGAAGUUUCUGAAGGGGCCCACGGUUGGGUGAUCUCGUCAGACUUUGAGCACUACAUCAUCAUCAUCAUCUUCAUCACCAUCACCGCCAACGCAAACCGGAGGUGGCACUAGAAGGACUUGGGUUGUUUAAAAUCUCUCUCAUCAUCUCAUGAAUCUGCUGUACUAUAAAAACAACAGCCUUUAAAAGUAUGUAUAUAAAACCCAUUUCUUGUUCGUUUUAUUUUCUCGAUGGGUUCUCCCCCCUGCCCUUUUUAAACCUCUCCAAACCCACAUCUUUUCGUAGCCUUUUUGACAUAGUCUCGUAGCCACGUAGUCAGAAUUCUUUGUGUAUGUAGCGAGAGCCUAACCAUAGUGUAACUGUUAUAUUAAGGGGUUUCUUUUGCUUUUUCUUUCCCACCUCCCUUCCUCCUCCUCCUCCUCCUCCUCCUCCCUUCUGUUUUACGUAGUUGUUGUUGCUUAAAGGAUGCUGAGAUGGUGACAGGAGCCGCGGCCGCGGGGGGAGCGGAGCCGGCGGCGGGCGCAGCACGGGGGGCUGGCAGGGCACGGGGAGGGGGCAGCAACAGGUUCUCUGGCCCUUCUUUUCCUUUGUGGCGUCUUGGUUCCUCUAAUUCUCUCUAUUUUCGGCAAUAAGGCGAGGGCGACAAACUUUUUGCGCGUCCUUUUUCUAUAUAAGUGCUUUUUUUUGUUGAAAGAGGUGAUAUAAAGGUUUUUUGAAAUCGCGACUUCUGAAAAAAAAAAGAAAAAAAUAAUAAAAUGCUGUAAAUACAAUUCCAUUAACUACAUAGAAACUAUUAAGAAAGAGAAAUACAAACCUAUUUUUGUGACGGAGUCAGCCUAAGGCAGUUUCUCUAUGGAAAUGGAUAAAAAGACAAGGAAGUUGUAGCCCUUCGGAGCGACUGCCGGAGCUGGCCCGGGGGGUGUGACGCUCUGGGACCCCCCAGCUCGCCCAGUUCAUCCCAGCAGCUUCGCCCUCCGACCUGCACAGCUUGCAAAGGAACAGUCUAGUGGUAUUUGUAUUUUAAUUUAAAACCUGCUUUUCCCAAAACUGAUCAAGAAGCUACGAUUUUUCCUACUUAUCGCAUUUACGGUUCAAAGCACACCUUUAUUUUGGUUUUUUUUUUUGGACUUUUUUUUUUUAGUCAUCGUUUUAAACUAGGUCAACUUGCUGUCCAGUCAUUUCAGCUGCUCUGGGCACCCCAUGUGGGCUGAGCAGCGUCCAGCUUGCAUGGUUUCCUUUAUUAUCCAUCACUUUCUGUAUUGUCAAAUUAGAAAGCAACUUUGGUUGGUUUUGAUUUAUUUUUUCUUUUUUUUUUUUUUUUUUUUUUUUGGGAAUACCUCAGUGCUACAAGUUUCACCCUAGAAGCAACGGAAGAUUUUAAUUUAUUGUAGUUGUAAACAGAAUUUAAAAGAAAUAAAGUAUAAAACAUCAUUGCACUGUGACUGGUAGGGGAAAAACUGACAGUUUCCUAUUUGCACAUGUUUAAUAUUUGGCUGUUAUAUAUAUGGUCCUCUGUUGGGGGAGGAAACUUAUGAAGGAUAUUUUUUAAUUUAAUUUUUUUAAUAUUGGUAAAUAGGCCUGCAACAGCAAACUAGAAGUACAACAUGGUAGGUGGCAUUAAGAACAUACUGUAGUGUGGAUAUAUUUCUUCUUUUUUUAACGUAAUAUUGACAAGUUUUAUUAAUAUUUUUUUAAAUUGUUACGUUUAUAAAUUUGGUACUUUAGGUACAGCCAGUAUAAGACACUGAAUGCGACAUUUGUUAAAAAGAGCUGCUGCACUCCUAUUUUUGUAAAUUUUACUAACAAGUAGAGUAAUGUAGACAUUCAAUAGACAAGGUAGAGCAAGGCAUCUUUAACAAAACAAGGCACCAUACUGCUAACCGAAAGGAGAAACCUUGUUUUUCUUGUUUUUAAAAAAAAAAUCAUGCUUUUUAUGUAAUAUUUUAGGUUUUUUUCUUAUUUCAGAACAACCAGGUUUAAGCAAAAUGCUGGACGCUUUUUAAAUAUUGAGACUUGAUCAAGUAAUAAAAGAAAUAAAACCGAAUUCUUUAAAAAAUAAAAAGGUAAAAAAAAAAAAUACUACGAACCAAAUUCCCUGCGAUUCAGUGUGCCGUCAGGGAAUUUUUUAUUGCUAUUUUGUCAAUGUUGAUGAUGUACUGUACUACCAGUUGGUUUUCCUCUCCAUUCCCUGUCACCUCAUAGAAUAUUCUUUGUUGAUCAUUGUUGUAUGUUAAUAGUGUAUAAAAUGGCUUAUCUUGUAAGAGUGCUGUCCUGAUGGUAGUGUAGUGAAUUUCCCCCCCCUCUUUCUCUCUUCCUCUUCUAGUACAUAUUGGUAGGUGUAUCGUAAUUAAGGUUAAAAAUUUAGAUGUAGUUAUUCAGAUUUAGGACCAGUAAGGAUAGAACUUUCUCUUAUUUAAGAAAAAAAAAUUGCUAAUAAUUUUGGGAAGGUUUUCCUUUUUUUGUUUUUUUUUUUUCUUCUCUUUUUUCUUUCUGUGCUUUUUUUCUCUUGUUUUUUUUUCUUCUGUUGAUCUGAUGCGGUUUCAACUAACCAAAGGUCUCACAAUGUUAAAAAUGCUGGCAAACUCUUAAGGCAUUUGUAGAUCCCCACCCAUGACUUUGGAAAGGGGAUGUGCCAUACUACCUUAAAUGCUAAUGCUAGAUAUGCAAAACUGGAUUUUUUUAAUUUAUUUUUUAAAAGAGGGAGGCACGGUAUAUUAAAACGAUUUUACUAAGAGAAAAAAAAAAAACAUAUUUUUUUAAGAAUGCUCAGAAGAAAUUGCUAAUCUGUGUGAAUAUGUUUUAGAUGUUUAUAUACCUUUUGAGAAGUCCCAGUGGCCCAUAGCACAAAUGUCGUGGAAUCCAAGAUGUUUUGAUGUGGCUACCUAGACUAAGGUUCACGUUAGUCCCCACUCAUCUAGAAAUCAAUUUUGAAGGAUUUUUUUUUUCCCUUCGUUCGUUUGGGGGUUUUUUGUAAAUUUUUCAGCACAAAGGCUCAGCUCCACCUUUGUUUUACUCAAGCCCAGGCGGGAGCGAAGGAUGGUGGAAUCACGGAGGGGUUUGGGUUGGAAGGGACCCUGAAGGUCCGGUGCCACCAGGGACCCUCCCGCUGUCCCAGGGGGCUCCGAGCCCCGUGCCCAGCCUGGCCUGGGACCCUGCAGGGACAGAGUCCUCUGGGACACCCUCCCUGCCCUCUGCCCCAAUCUCCCAGCUGGGAUCAGCAACACUGGGCACCCAAGGGCCAGUCCCAAACACCAGGGACAUUCCCUGGUGCCACCAGGGCUUGGGACCUCCCCGUCACAUAGAGUCCUUUGUGAUCGGCUUGAUUAAAGCAAAGCCUGAUCUGUCCUUUGGGGUUUUUAUUUUUUUAUUACACUUCAUAAAUGUUAAUUUUGAGUUGAAUUUGUAGCUUGGACUUUAAGGUAGCAUGGCUCUCUUUGCUGUAAGUUGAUUUUUUUUCCAUUGUACAGCAGCGUCUGCUGGUGAAUGUCACACAUCUUGCUAGGCUUAGUUAAAUCAUUGGGUAAUUGUGGGUGAUAACGACCUGAAAGGUGUUGGGAUUUCUUUUCUUCCCUGCUUUCAUCUGUAGUGUGA